CAGUCAGAAAUGAGAACGUGGACAGUUUGGUGCUUGGUCUUGUGCUUCUUUGGAGCAAGAGCUAAGAUAACACAAAACUCAAGUCUGGUACUGAAAGAAGAUGAGAGUGCUACCCUGGGAUGCAGUCAAAAUGACAAUCACAAUUAUAUGUACUGGUAUCUGCAGCAGCCAGGAAAAGGGCUGCAGUUAAUCUAUUAUUCCUAUGGAGCAAAUCAGGAAUAUAAAGGUGAUAUUCACACUGGAUACGAAGCUAAGCGGAUAAGCCAGGAAUACUUUCGUUUAGAUCUCAUGUCUGUGAAGAAGAACCAUUCAGCUACCUAUUUCUGUGCCUCAAGUUUGGACACAACACUUCAAAGUCACUUGCGUUCUGUACAUAAACUCCUCUCCAGUACCUUCCCUCAGAAGGGAGUAGUUUCAGCACAGGAUCAUGGUAUGUAGGUCAAGUGGCUACUCACAAAACAUAGGCUGCU